rnacentral:lncRNA from 1 species
GUUUACCCUUGACGUCUUACAGUUGUGCUAUGUGAUGCCUCCACUUUAAGGCUAUAUCUUCAGAUGAUUUCCCUUUUUUUGUUUUUUUUUUUAAUUUAAUUUAAUUUGUCUUUUUAGGGCCGCAGCUGAGGCAUAUGGAGGUUCCCAGACUAAGGGCCGAAUUAGAGCUAUAGCUGCUGGCCUACACCACAGCCAAAGCAAUGCAGGAUCUGAGCUGCAUCCGUGACCGACACCACAGCUCACAUCAACCCUGGAUCCUUAACCCACUGAGCGAGGCCAGGGAUCGAACUUGCAUCCUCAUGGAUACUAGUCAGGUUCCUUUCCACUGAGCCACGACAGGAACUCCAGUUUCCCUUUUUUCUACUGAAGAAAUACAUAUUCUACAAUGGAUAGAAUGAGAUUGAGAAGUCCGAGAAUUCUGUAGUGUCUAAUUUACAAAAAUGUUCAAUAGAAUUGUAAGUAGAGACAACCUGUAUGAUUGGUUUUGACUUAUAAAAAUAUGAUUCUUUUUAUGUGUGCAGUGUUCAUGUUGGGGGAGAGAGAGGAGACCUUUAUUUCUUCAAGGAAACACGAACUGGGUUAACCAUGGCUGCCUCUGGGUAGUGGGAUGGAGGAGUCUGAAAGUUCCUGCAGGGAUCGUUGGGGGAAGAGAGUGUGGAGGAGACAUUUGUCUCACAGAGACCUCCCCCCAGCUGUGGAGUGUGGCAGCGAAAAGAGAAGCAAGCGUGGAGUCUGUGAGGGUACAGAAGAUCCGGGAGAGGUCUGGACGUUUCCUGGAGCUCCAGGAAGGUGCUGGAGAACUUCCAGAAUUCCCCAUGCACACAGAGAGACAGGGAAUGAUUGCAUUCAGAAGACUUACUGACCCCUUUGUCACCAGGAGGUCCCCAAAGCCUCUUGCAAGUCUGAGAUUCCAAGGCUCUAUAGCAGGUGCCUUCAGACAGAUUGAGGGGAAACUAAAAGUUAAGUGACACAGCUCAUCCUCUUCCAUGAUAGGGUGUGUCUCCCCCUGCUAUUGCUCUCCGCUGUUCAUUCCCUGCCCUAAACACACAGUGGAGCUCGAGACAGUAUAGAUUUCGUUCCCCACAUGCCCUGCAUUUAAUUCUCCUUUGCACUGUCAUCCAAUGUAUUACAACACUCUUUAGCUGGCAGUGUGGGGCCUUUGCUUCUUUCUUUCCCCACCUAGAUUCUCCUAGGAAAUCCACCAGUUCCCCAUCCUUUUGGCAGAGCAAUGAGCCACAGAAAGAUGACCUCCGGGCACGUGGUGCCUUCCCAUUUUGAUAUAAAGGAUGAAACUGCGUAUUUUUUCAGUGGUGGAGGGGGAUUAGCACUCUGUGGCAGGGCGCUAGGAAUGCAGAUCAACUCAGACUUGUUAAAACAGUGGCCCAAAUCCCAAAAGAGACAAUCGGUCUUUUGUGAGGCAAUUUGCAAGUAUCAAGUUCCA